GGACGAACGCUGGCGGCGUGCCUAACACAUGCAAGUCGAACGGAGUUAUUUAUGGAAGAUUCUUCGGAAUUGGAAGCAAAUAACUUAGUGGCGGACGGGCGAGUAACGCGUGAGUAACCUGCCCAUAAGAGGGGGAUAAUUCAUGGAAACGUGGACUAAUACCGCAUAUUGAGUAAAUAUCGCAUGAUAAUUACUUGAAAGAUUUUAUCGCUUAUGGAUGGACUCGCGUCUGAUUAGAUAGUUGGUGGGGUAACGGCCUACCAAGUCGACGAUCAGUAGCCGGACUGAGAGGUUGAUCGGCCACAUUGGGACUGAGACACGGCCCAGACUCCUACGGGAGGCAGCAGUGGGGAAUAUUGCACAAUGGGCGAAAGCCUGAUGCAGCAACGCCGCGUGAGGGAAGACGGUCUUCGGAUUGUAAACCUCUGUCUUUGGUGAAGAAGAAAGUGACGGUAACCAAGGAGGAAGCCACGGCUAACUACGUG
rnacentral:rRNA from 1 species